rnacentral:lncRNA from 1 species
CCGCGAGGCCCGACCCUCGCUGGGUGGGGCGGCCGCCGCAGCGGGGAUUAGCACCCGGAUUUCCUGCUAUCCGGGCUGAUGUUCUCUUCUCCCACUGAUUUACUCUAGGAUUGGAUGGUGAGAAAAGGAGAGAUUCCUGUGAGAAGAGAGCAGGAUGAUCAGAAGGAUCCAUACUUGAAGUUGGGUCGCUUGAAAAUGAUCUCUUUGAGUGUGGAAGAGAUCUGAACAGAUGAAAAUACAAUCAGGAAAAUGCAACAUGGCAGCAGCAAUGGAGACAGAGCAGCUGGGUGUUGAAAUAUUUGAAACUGCAGAGUGUGAGGAGAAUAUUGAAUCACAGGAUCGGCCCAAAUUGGAGCCAUUUUAUGUUGAGCGAUAUUCUUGGAGUCAGCUUAAAAAGUUGCUUGCCGAUACCAGAAAAUACCAUGGCUACAUGAUGGCCAAGGCACCGCAUGAUUUUAUGUUUGUGAAGAGGAAUGAUCCAGAUGGGCCUCAUUCAGACAGGAUCUAUUAUCUUGGUGAGUAUGGCAUUACAGUUUUUCUUAAUUAGAGUUUUUUGUUUUCUUUUUGAGACAGGGUCUCACUGUGUAGUUCAGAUUGCCCUGGGAACUCACUAUGUAGCCCAGACUAGUCUCGAACUUGCAGUGGUCCUCCUGCUCAGCCUCCCGAGUCCUGGGAUUACAGAUGUGCACCACCUCAUCUGGUUUAAGUUA